rnacentral:rRNA from 1 species
AGGUGUAACGUCACGCAUCAGACCUCUGAUCAGGGAAGACUACCCGCUGAGUUUAAGCAUAUCAAUAGCCGGGAGGAA